rnacentral:lncRNA from 1 species
AAAAAUGAAAAAUGGCUGCAUAGCGCCCCCUAUGGUGAAAACUCACCUGACGCCUGUACACUUUGUCAAAAUGACACAAAAUUUGACACACAUGUGUAUCUCAAUAAGAUCUACAAAAAAGUCAGUGCAGGCGUAUCUGUCAAAUGUACCGUUAAAGGGCUAUUUCGCAUUUUUUGCCGAUCCGCACACAUUGGAAUUUCGCUAACUCCUCCGAAGGCUUUCGUUCCACUGGCACCACAUUUGCUCAGGCCAAUCUACACCCCAUGGCCAUUAAAAGUUGUACAAAUCAUGAUGCUGCACCCCACGGUUUACGUUCUAGGGGGCGCCAAAGAUAACCCAAAAAUCCACAUUCUUAAAAGUCUUAUAACUUUUUAUUUUUCUCCUCACUGGCCUCCAAGUUUUCUAGGAUGAUGCAAUGUCCAGCCAUCAACACAUUUGUGAAGGAAUUUUUACUCCCCAAAAGAGCGCCCCCCCAUGGCAGGAGAAAAAAGUCCAUUUUUUCUUGUCCCCUAACAUGAAAAUACACAUUGUUGAGUGUCACGCCUAAACGCUUUGUCAUAUUGACAAAAAAUUUGACAAUCACGUGUAUCUCAAUAAGAUCUACAAAAAAGUCAUAGAGCGCGUAUCUGUAUAAUGUACGGUUAAAGGGCUAUUUUGCAUUUUUUGCCGAUCCGCACACAUUGGAAUUUCGCUAACUCCUCCGAAGGCUUUCGUUCCACCGGCACCAAAUUUGCUCAGGCCAAUCUACACCCCAUGGCCAUUAAAAGUUGUACAAAUCAUGACGCUGCAACCCACGGUGAAGGUUCUAGGGGGCGCCAAAGAUAACCCAAAAAUCCACAUUCUUAAAAGUCUUAUAACUUUUUAUUUUUGUCCUCACUGGCCUCCAAGUUUUCUAGGAUAAUGCAAUGUCCAGCCAUCAACACAUUUGUGAAGGAAAUUUUACUCCCCAAAAGAGCGCCCCCCCAUGGCAGGAGAAAAAAGUCUAUUUUUUCUUGUCCCCUAAGGUGAAAAUACACAUUGUUUAGUGUCACGCCUGUACGCUUUGGCAAAAUGACACAAAUAUUAACACACACAUGUAUCUCAAUAAGAUCUACGAAAAAGUCAAUGCGCGCAUAUCUGUCAAAUGUACGGUUAAAGGGUUAUUCCGCAUUUUUUGCCGAUCCGCACACAUUGGAAUGUGGCUAACUCCUCCGAAGGCUUUCGUUCCACUGGCACCACAUUUGCUCAGGCCAAUCUACACCCCAUGGCCAUUAAAAGUUAUUCAAAUCAUGACGCUGCACCCCACGGUUUAGGUUCUAGGGGGCGCCAAAGAUAACCCUAAAAUCCACAUAUUUAAAAGUCUUAUAACUUCUUAUUUUUGUCCUCACUGGCCUCCAGGUUUUCUAGGAUGAUGCAAUGUCCAGCCAUCAACACAUUUGUGAAGGAAUUUUUACUCCCCAAAAGAGCGCCCCCCCA